GCCCUUACUCCUACGGGAGGCAGCAGUGGGGAAUAUUGCACAAUGGGCGAAAGCCUGAUGCAGCGACGCCGCGUGAGGGAUGACGGCCUUCGGGUUGUAAACCUCUUUCAGCAGGGACGAAGCGAAAGUGACGGUACCUGCAGAAGAAGCACCGGCCAACUACGUGCCAGCAGCCGCGGUAAUACGUAGGGUGCGAGCGUUAAUCGGAAUUACUGGGCGUAAAGCGUGCGCAGGCGGUUUUGUAAGCCAGAUGUGAAAUCCCCGGGCUUAACCUGGGAAUGGCAUUUGGGACUGCAAGGCUGGAGUAUGGCAGAGGGGACUAGAAUUCCUGGUGUAGCAGUGAAAUGCGUAGAUAUCAGGAGGAAUACCGAUGGCGAAGGCAGGUCCCUGGGCUGAUACUGACGCUCAUGCACGAAAGCGUGGGGAGCAAACAGGAUUAGAUACCCUGGUAGUCCACGCCCUAAACGAUGUCGACUGGUUGUUGGGGGUUUGACACUCUCAGUAACGAAGCUAACGCGUGAAGUCGACCGCCUGGGGAGUACGGUCGCAAGAUUAAAACUCAAAUGAAUUGACGG
rnacentral:rRNA from 1 species